GACGAACGCUGGCGGCGUGCUUAACACAUGCAAGUCGAACGGAAAGGCCCUGCUUUUGUGGGGUGCUCGAGUGGCGAACGGGUGAGUAACACGUGAGUAACCUGCCCUUGACUUUGGGAUAACUUCAGGAAACUGGGGCUAAUACCGGAUAGGAGCUCCUGCUGCAUGGUGGGGGUUGGAAAGUUUCGGCGGUUGGGGAUGGAUUCGCGGCUUAUCAGCUUGUUGGUGGGGUAGUGGCUUACCAAGGCUUUGACGGGUAGCCGGCCUGAGAGGGUGACCGGCCACAUUGGGACUGAGAUACGGCCCAGACUCCUACGGGAGGCAGCAGUGGGGAAUAUUGCACAAUGGGCGGAAGCUUGAUGCAGCAACGCCGCGUGCGGGAUGACGGCCUUCGGGUUGUAAACCGCUUUCGCCUGUGACGAAGCGUGAGUGACGGUAAUGGGUAAAGAAGCACCGGCUAACUACGUGCCAGCAGCCGCGGUGAUACGUAGGGUGCGAGCGUUGUCCGGAUUUAUUGGGCGUAAAGGGCUCGUAGGUGGUUGAUCGCGUCGGAAGUGUAAUCUUGGGGCUUAACCCUGAGCGUGCUUUCGAUACGGGUUGACUUGAGGAAGGUAGGGGAGAAUGGAAUUCCUGGUGGAGCGGUGGAAUGCGCAGAUAUCAGGAGGAACACCAGUGGCGAAGGCGGUUCUCUGGGCCUUUCCUGACGCUGAGGAGCGAAAGCGUGGGGAGCGAACAGGCUUAGAUACCCUGGUAGUCCACGCUGUAAACGGUGGGUACUAGGUGUGGGGUCCAUUCCACGGGUUCCGUGCCGUAGCUAACGCUUUAAGUACCCCGCCUGGGGAGUACGGCCGCAAGGCUAAAACUCAAAGGAAUUGACGGGGCCCCGCACAAGCGGCGGAGCAUGCGGAUUAAUUCGAUGCAACGCGUAGAACCUUACCUGGGUUUGACAUGGAUCGGGAGCGCUCAGAGAUGGGUGUGCCUCUUUUGGGGUCGGUUCACAGGUGGUGCAUGGCUGUCGUCAGCUCGUGUCGUGAGAUGUUGGGUUAAGUCCCGCAACGAGCGCAACCCUUGUUCACUGUUGCCAGCACGUUAUGGUGGGGACUCAGUGGAGACCGCCGGGGUCAACUCGGAGGAAGGUGGGGAUGACGUCAAGUCAUCAUGCCCCUUAUGUCCAGGGCUUCACGCAUGCUACAAUGGCUGGUACAGAGAGUGGCGAGCCUGUGAGGGUGAGCGAAUCUCGGAAAGCCGGUCUCAGUUCGGAUUGGGGUCUGCAACUCGACCUCAUGAAGUCGGAGUCGCUAGUAAUCGCAGAUCAGCAACGCUGCGGUGAAUACGUUCCCGGGGCU
rnacentral:rRNA from 1 species